GUCUUCUCUCAGUGGGACUGGCAGCUCCUCUGUCCUGUGAGGAUCUACUGAGACCUUUACAGAUGAACAGCACGAACCAUAUUUUGGGUAAGUGGAUUUUUAUCGCGGAGAGCACUGAGGUCCCUGGUGGCAGGGAGUAUGCUGGAAAAGAAUAGAUCACAGGCUGGCUUCAGAUCUCUCCUGGGCUCCAGAACAACACUGUCAAAGAAUUACAGAUGAUAAACAUUGGAGGCAAAUGCAAUAGCAUGACCAGUGAAAUGACCAUGGAAAACAACACGUUUACCUCAACGGGACCUUUGUACUUUUCCCUGACCUACCUGAAUACCUGCCCUGACUGCCUCCUUGCCCAACAAAAGUUGUCAUUGGUUAGCAACUACAGCACUCUGUAUAUCUUCAGUAAGAGAAAGGAGCUGACCUCUGCUGAACUGGAAGUGUUUAAGAAACAGGUGGACUGUCUCAAUUUGCCACCAGCUGUGUUCACAAACCCACAGAAAGAUUCCUGUCCAGAUCCGACACAGGACAACAGCAAAACUCUGGACCUGUCGAAAGUGAUUGAAUUGCUGGGUGACAAGAUUGAUCUUCAGAAGACUUUAGAAGAGAUGAUAAGUAAAUUACAACUAGUGAGUAUUAAAGCCGAUUAAUUGUCAAAAUGUCAA